GAAAAUUUAGUUAAAUUUUAUAACAUUAGCUUGUCAAGCUAAAGUUGUUCUCCAAACAAUUUUCU
rnacentral:tRNA from 1 species